rnacentral:rRNA from 1 species
CAGCCCCUCGAGUGGUGGGGAUGAUUAUUUGGCCUAAAGCGUCCGUAGCCGGCCAUGUAAGUCUCCCGUUAAAUCCAGCGUCUCAAGCGUUGGACUGCGGGAGAUACUGCAGGGCUAGAGAGUGGGAGAGGUCAGCGGUAUUCUGGGGGUAGGGGCGAAAUCCUUUGAUCCCCGGAGGACCACCAGUGGCGAAGGCUGCUGACUAGAACACGUCUGACGGUCAGGGACGAAAGCUGGGGUAGCGAACCGGAUUAGAUACCCGAGUAGUCC